rnacentral:tRNA from 1 species
GGAGAUGUGGCUCAGUGGCAGAGCACUUACCUAGCAAGCAGGAGGCCCUGGCUUCAAUCCCAAGCAACACUC